rnacentral:rRNA from 1 species
GUCUAUGGCCAUACCAUCCUGAACGCACCCGAUCUCGUCUGAUCUCAGAAGCUAAGCAGGGCUGGGCCUGGUUAGUACUUGGAUGGGAGACAUCUAUCACUGUCAUCA